rnacentral:rRNA from 1 species
UACGUAGGGGGCGAGCGUUGUCCGGAUUUACUGGGCGUAAAGAGCGCGUAGGCGGAAGCUUAAGUGUGGCCUGAAAGCCCCCGGCUCAACCGGGGAGGGUGGCUGCAAACUGGGCUUCUUGAGGGCGGCAGAGGAGAGUGGAAUUCCUGGUGUAGCGGUGAAAUGCGUAGAGAUCAGGAGGAACACCCGUGGCGAAGGCGGGUCUCUGGGCCGAUAUCGACGCUGAGGAGCGAAAGCGUGGGGAGCGAACAGG